GUUGGAACUAUUCGAAACAACACAGCGAGUUAAAAUAAGGCUUAGUCCGUAAACAACUUUGCAAAAAAGUAGGCACCGAAUCGGUGCCUUUUU
rnacentral:sRNA from 1 species